GUUACAACUGGUUUCCACACAGGAUUGUAACAGUAAAUUUUGCUGUAAAAAUGGCAGUUUCAUAUAAUUCAACAGUAGGAAAAAGCAUGAGGAAUCUUUUCUGUUAAUUUGUCAUUUGGUGGUAAGGUAUAUUGCAGUUAUGACAAAUGUAAUCAUAUUUCAUUGUUCUCUGCAGAAGAACUCUUGAUGAUGCCUGAAAUACAUGUCAGUACUGCAGGAUGAGAAAAAAUCCCUUAAAAUGUAAUUCUUGCAACAAUUGCAAUGCUGAACAUGAUGCAUAUCAAUAUCCCCUCUGCAACUGGUAUCUGUGGAUUCCUGUUGAUAAAGGGCUAAAAUGGAUAAAGGAGAGCUGCUUAUAGUGAGAAAUGCUUUUAGCAAGAGAGCAUCAAGAACAGAUUUCCUGGACUAGACCUUUCUUUCUGACUGCCACAUCAGUUGUGGAGCCAGCCUUCCUCCAACAGAGCAGAGCUACAUUCUGCAGUGAAGUGAUUCAGGAGCUGAGAUCUGUGACACACAAAUGGGGGCUUGCAGUUGAUGGGGUGGUUGUGCAUACAGCUGGUGCAUACUCUGAUCCUAACCUGUGUCAGUUCUGCUCCAGAAGGCACUGGGAGCUUGGAACAGGGCAAGGAUGGCACAGAACGUUUAUAGUUAAAGGCAAAGAUUAUGUUUUUCUCUCUUCUGUUUGCUUACUCAGUAAGGAAAGGAAAUUGUAACUGAUAUUUCUCAAUAAUAAACCCCUACAAAUGCAACAUGUCAUGUUUUCAUAUAAUUACAGGCCAGGAAUCACUGCCCACAGUCCUUCCACUGCAAAAAAACUUUGGAUCCAGAAGCAACUGAGGUGGUUUAGGAUUCAUUUCCAGAGGACUUGUGGAAAGAAUCAUAAGAGAGGGAGGAGAAGAAAAGGAAGAAAGAUGAAGUGCACCAUUAAGUAUACCCAGGGAACACAAUAAUACACUUUAUAGUCCAAAAACAUUAUACUUACACACUAUCAUGGACAAAAAAGGAAGGAAACCCAGUUUGUAGCCAGUCCAAAUAAAACUUCUGAUCACUAAUUUGGUUAGUGGGGAGAGAAGUGCACGAUUACACAUCAAUUCACUCGACACCAAUCCCCAAAACCACAUGCUCAUUCCCACUGAGAAAACAGACAGUGAAUAGGCUGAGGUUGUUGUGCAUGUGAUGCUUUUUCCACUCUUUCCUUCUCACUUAUCUCCCUCCCACACUGUUCCUUAGUGUUCCUGCCCUGGUGUAACCCCAGCUGCAGCUCACCCCACAAGGCUGCUCUCACUCUCCGAGCUGGAAUGCAAGAGAGAAUACGAAAAGCGAAAAAUCUCAUGGGUUGAGACAAAGACAGUCUAACAGAUAAAGCAAAAGCCCUGCUCACAAACAAA